CGCCAGACUCCUACGGGAGGCAGCAGUGGGGAAUAUUGCACAAUGGGGGAAACCCUGAUGCAGCGACGCCGCGCGAGUGAAGAAGUAUUUCGGUAUGUAAAGCUCUCUCAGCAGGGAAGAAAAUGACGGUACCUGAUUAAGAAGCCCCGGCUAACUACGUGCCAGCAGCCGCGGUAAUACGUAGGGGGCAAGCGUUAUCCGGAUUUACUGGGUGUAAAGGGAGCGUAGACGGUGAUGCAAGUCAGAAGUGAAAGCCCGGGGCUCAACUCCGGGACUGCUUUUGAAACUGUGUGACUGGAGUGCAGGAGAGGUAAGCGGAAUUCCUGGUGUAGCGGUGAAAUGCGUAGAUAUCAGGAGGGACACCAGUGGCGAAGGCGGCUUACUGGACUGUAACUGACGUUGAGGCUCGAAAGCGUGGGGAGCAAACAGGAUUAGAUACCCUCGUAC
rnacentral:rRNA from 1 species